AUAGGGCGUCACUUCGGGGUGAGCAGCUGAAGAGUCAGUCAGACCCGAAGGUGUCGGUGCAGCCAAAGAGUGAUAGUGCAGCACAGUCCUCCACUCCUCGUUAGUAUAGUGGUGCCAGAUGCUUGCUUCCUUGCUCUCCUGCUCCAUCUGCCAGAGAGGGAGAAACACAUCUUGUUUGGAUGUGAUAUCUGGCAGACACCCUGACACCGCAUCCUCUGCAGUCCAUGCGUGGUAAAGACUUCAGCAGGCUCAUAUCUGAGUGGGAGACAUGCUCCAGGUCCUGCAGCAUUUGGAAACCCCUGCUUGAUUUUGCUUGAGCUCUUUUUGCUUCCAGGCUGGCUGCCUGGAGACUUUCAUCCCUGAGAGAACUGUGUUUUUUCUCUCACGCUAAUAAAUACUGUAAUGUUAGAAACUCUUUAAGUUUCAAGAUCAGCAGCACCACAUGAAUCCUAAUUUCUCACUGUGCCAUGCUGUGGGCAUAUCCUUGUACAGUUCUAAAUAUUGGUGCUGUAUGGAAGCACUUGUACCUUCAUGGUUGAAAGAACAGUUUGAAAAUGUGGAGUGUGUUCCUGAAGGAUGUCCAGGUGUGUGAAAGUAUUCUGCAAAUACCUCAGCCUUGUUUUGAAGUGAAUAUCUGAAGCCCCUCUGUAGCCCAUAAAGCCCCGGAGUUUCGGGGUGGGUGCUGCAAGGUAUCCAACAGCCCUGCUUUAGCUGCAAGAGACGAAGGAUCCCAGCCCCUUUGCUGCCUUUGUGUUUCUGUCUUUCAGCACUCUGAGCACAAACAGACAGGUGCUUAACUAAGGCUAAAUUGGGAGUAACGUGGAUAUGGAGACAAAUUAAUGACUGCUAAUUAGAAAGCACUACUCUGAUAUCUUUUUUAUUUUUAAUCUGCAAUUACAGAUGUAGCAAAACUCCCAAGACUUUGUCUCAAUGCAUAUGUCCCAACAGAGGGACAGCCACUUCUGCUAUGCCAUAUGGCAUAUAUUGACAGAUAAGCUGCUGCCUUUCACAAUGCACUGUUUGCUGAAGAUAAUUUAUAGCGUGCUUCACUUAAAACUGACAGCCUGAUUCCAAUGAGCAUAGAGAACAAUCAGAUGUUGUAAAAAUCUGUGAUUCUUUCUCUCAGGUAAAGUAUUCAAUCUUCAGUUGAUCAUGGCUGUAAGCAGUGAAAUAGAAACAGAGGUGAACAGCCUGUGCCUUUUGGCAAGUCUUCAGA